GAUGAACGCUGGCGGCGUGCCUAAUACAUGCAAGUCGAGCGAACAGAUGAGGAGCUUGCUCCUCUGACGUUAGCGGCGGACGGGUGAGUAACACGUGGAUAACCUACCUAUAAGACUGGGAUAACUUCGGGAAACCGGAGCUAAUACCGGAUAAUAUAUUGAACCGCAUGGUUCAAUAGUGAAAGACGGUUUUGCUGUCACUUAUAGAUGGAUCCGCGCCGCAUUAGCUAGUUGGUAAGGUAACGGCUUACCAAGGCAACGAUGCGUAGCCGACCUGAGAGGGUGAUCGGCCACACUGGAACUGGGACACGGUCCAGACUACUACGGGAGGCAGCAGUAGGGAAUCUUCGGCAAUGGGCGAAAGCCUGACGGAGCAACGCCGCGUGAGUGAUGAAGGUCUUCGGAUCGUAAAACUCUGUUAUUAGGGAAGAACAAAUGUGUAAGUAACUAUGCACGUCUUGACGGUACCUAAUCAGAAAGCCACGGCUAACUACGUG
rnacentral:rRNA from 1 species